rnacentral:tRNA from 1 species
GGAUGAGUAGAUCAACGGCUAGAUCGGGGAGUCGCACUCCCAAUGUAGGUUCGAUUCCUGCCUCAUCCACCA